UUGACUUAUGCAACAGAUCAAUUGAAUGCUGCUUCGAGUGCGGCGAGUGCGAUUACCCAAACGGUUGUGCAAGCACAAUCAAGUUAUU
rnacentral:tRNA from 1 species